GACGAACGCUGGCGGCGUGCCUAAUACAUGCAAGUCGAACGCUUUUUCUUUCACCGGAGCUUGCUCCACCGAAAGAAAAAGAGUGGCGAGCGGGUGAGUAACACGUGGGUAACCUGCCCAUCAGAAGGGGAUAACACUUGGAAACAGGUGCUAAUACCGUAUAACACUAUUUUCCGCAUGGAAGAAAGUUGAAAGGCGCUUUUGCGUCACUGAUGGAUGGACCCGCGGUGCAUUAGCUAGUUGGUGAGGUAACGGCUCACCAAGGCAACGAUGCAUAGCCGACCUGAGAGGGGGAUCGGCCACACUGGGACUGAGACACGGCCCAGACUCCUACGGGAGGCAGCAGUAGGGGAUCUUCGGCAAUGGACGAAAGUCUGACCGAGCAACGCCGCGUGAGUGAAGAAGGUUUUCGGAUCGUAAAACUCUGUUGUUAGAGAAGAACAAGGAUGAGAGUAGAACGUUCAUCCCUUGACGGUAUCUAACCAGAAAGCCACGGCUAACUACGUGCCAGCCGCCGCAGUAA
rnacentral:rRNA from 1 species